UGAGGAAUUUUGCGCAAUGGGGGAAACCCUGACGCAGCAACGCCGCGUGAGUGAUGAAGGCCUUCGGGUCGUAAAGCUCUGUCAAGUGGGAAGAAUCUGUCCGGUGAUAAUACCGCUGGGCAAUGACGGUACCGCUGAAGGAAGCACCGGCUAACUCCGUGCCAGCAGCCGCGGUAAUACGGGGGGUGCUAGCGUUAUUCGGAAUCAUUGGGCGUAAAGGGCGCGUAGGCGGUCUUUUAAGUCAGAUGUGAAAGCCCUCGGCUUAACUGAGGAAGUGCAUUUGAUACUAAAAGACUUGAGUAUGGGAGAGGGAAGCGGAAUUCCUGGUGUAGUGGUGAAAUGCGUAGAUAUCAGGAGGAACACCGGUGGCGAAGGCGGCUUCCUGGACCAAUACUGACG
rnacentral:rRNA from 1 species